rnacentral:rRNA from 1 species
CCUACGGGGGGCUGCAGUGGGGAAUAUUGCACAAUGGGCGCAAGCCUGAUGCAGCCAUGCCGCGUGUGUGAAGAAGGCCUUCGGGUUGUAAAGCACUUUCAGCGGGGAGGAAGGCGUUAAGGUUAAUAACCUUGUCGAUUGACGUCACCCGCAGAAGAAGCACCGGCUAACUCCGUGCCAGCAGCCGCGGUAAUACGGAGGGUGCAAGCGUUAAUCGGAAUUACUGGGCGUAAAGCGCACGCAGGCGGUCUGUCAAGUCGGAUGUGAAAUCCCCGGGCUCAACCUGGGAACUGCAUUCGAAACUGGCAGGCUAGAGUCUUGUAGAGGGGGGUAGAAUUCCAGGUGUAGCGGUGAAAUGCGUAGAGAUCUGGAGGAAUACCGGUGGCGAAGGCGGCCCCCUGGACAAAGACUGACGCUCAGGUGCGAAAGCGUGGGGAGCAAACAGGAUUAGAUACCCGGGUAGUC